rnacentral:rRNA from 1 species
CCUACGGGCGGCAGCAGUGAGGAAUAUUGGUCAAUGGGCGCAAGCCUGAACCAGCCAAGUCGCGUGAGGGAAGACGGCCCUACGGGUUGUAAACUUCUUUUGCCGGGGAGCAAGCCUGAGCUCGUGUGCCCAGGCGGAGAGUACCAGGAGAAAAAGCAUCGGCUAAUACCGUGCCAGCAGCCGCGGUAAUCCGGAGGAUGCGGGCGUGAUCCGGAUUUAUGGGGUUAAAAGGGUGCGCAGGCGGACUGUUAAGCCGGCGGUAAAAAUUCAGGGCUCAACCCUGUCGAGCCGUCGAAACUGGCAGCCUUGAGUGGGCGAGAAGUAUGCGGAAUGCGUGGUGUAGCGGUGAAAUGCAUAGAUAUCACGCAGAACGCCGAUUGCGAAGGCAGCAUACCGGCGCCCGACUGACGCUGAGGCACGAAAGCGUGGGGAUCGAACAGGAUUAGAUACCCUGGUAGUC